rnacentral:rRNA from 1 species
GAUGAACGCUAGCUACAGGCUUAACACAUGCAAGUCGGAGGGGCAUCAUGGAGGCAGCUUGCUGUCUCUGAUGGCGACCGGCGAAGUGGGUGAGUAACGCGUGAGCAACCUGUCCUCUACAGGGGAAUAAGACAGCGAAAGUUGUUCUAAUACCGCAUAAGACCACAUUGCCACAUGGCGGAGGGGUCAAAGGAGCAAUCCGGUAGAGGGUGGGCUCGCGUCCGAUUAGAUAGUUGGUGAGGUAACGGCCCACCAAGUCAACGAUCGGUAGCCGACCUAAGAGGGUGAUCGGCCACAUUGGGACUGAGACACGGCCCAGACUCC